CCUCACUCAGUGGUCAGGGCCUCUGUCCCUGGCUCUGCUCCUCCUGGGUAACCUGGAACAGGGCCGUUUCCAUCUGUGAAUGGGACCAGGGACGCCAUCUGUGUCUUCCCAGGAUGCUGAGGAAGGCAGACCAGUGCAGCAUUCAGCACCUAGUGGGGUGUUGGGCUAUGUCUGAGGCCUAGAUGCCCCCUGCCCCGAAACACACAAGCCUCGGCACCUGGAACAGCCAGGAAGCUGGCUUAGAGACGGCUGAGAUAAAUGCACAUCUGUCCUCAGGCCUGCCACUCUCUGCCCUUGGUUAUCUGCAGGAGGAAAUCCACUGAGGCCACAGCCCAGGCCCUGCAGCAAUCAGGCCAAUCAUCUAUGCUGUCCUAGUGGUGGCUACCAUGGCUGUGGCUCCCACAGUGUCCCAGGCCUGUGCUGGGCAGUACCCACGGAAGAGAAGCCCAGCACAGAGAGGACCCGAAAUUCUCCCAACAUUCACAGGAAGGGAAGAGCCCUUGCCCCCACCAACCACACUAGGGCUCAGCGGAGAUAACAUCUGACCCAGGCCGUCUGCUCCGUGCACCCAGCAAGAGUGCUAGCAUGUGACACACGGCAGCGAGCUCCUGCGUGGGCGAGGGGAUGAUGGAUGGAUGGACUGGC
rnacentral:lncRNA from 1 species